GAAGGGGGCUAGCGUUGCUCGGAAUUACUGGGCGUAAAGGGCGCGUAGGCGGACAGUUUAGUCAGAGGUGAAAGCCCAGGGCUCAACCUUGGAACUGCCUUUGAUACUGGCUGUCUUGAGUACGGGAGAGGUGUGUGGAACUCCGAGUGUAGAGGUGAAAUUCGUAGAUAUUCGGAAGAACACCAGUGGCGAAGGCGACACACUGGCCCGUUACUGACGCUGAGGCGCGAAAGCGUGGGGAGCAAACAGGAUUAGAUACCCUGGUAGUCCACGCCGUAAACGAUGAGUGCUAGUUGUCGGCAUGCAUGCAUGUCGGUGACGCAGCUAACGCAUUAAGCACUCCGCCUGGGGAGUACGGCCGCAAGGUUA
rnacentral:rRNA from 1 species